rnacentral:lncRNA from 1 species
CCACUUUGCCAAUAGAAUUAAUGAUUACUGUAAAUAGAAAUCAUGAAUAUUGCAUAUUCUGUUCGAGUGUUAAAUAAAUAACGAUAUGCAUUCACUUAUAAAAAAAAAAGAAGAAGAAGGAUAUAGUUUUGCUUAAACUAUGUGAUGCUUAUAAGCUUUUCACAUAAUAUUUUUUCAUCGUAGUACUAUUGAGUUUGCUUCAGAUGGUAAUAUAUGAGUAUUUUUUGGAUAAAAUCUACAAGACCUUUAUUCCUUGUCACACUGUAUGAAAAUCUUUCAUAAUCUUCUGCAAUCUUUUUGUAGGACUCUUCCUCAUUUUGCCGAUCCCUCACAUUUGAAUAAUUUGUUGUCGCUCUAGAGUGUUAUGCAACCCUAUACAAACAUCAUACAUGUAUUAUUGCAAAGCUACAGUAUCAGACACCCAGGACUGCAAUAUAAAUAUGCUCUAUGUCCAUCUUCCAAUCAAUAACCAUAAUGCCAAAAGAUCUUCUUUAACUCAAUACCGAAUAUAGAAUAUUUAUCAAGAUUAAUAAGACAGGGAAAAGGAAACAUGAAAGAGUUCUCAUCAUGUCCAAUUAAGGAAAGACUCUAUCAAAACGUAAAAUAUGUAUAGAACCAAAAACAAUGUGUAAUAUGCACAUCAAAUGCAAGGGUGAAAUAGUUUUUCUGGAAUGCACCUGCAUUCUAAUCGUUUAGAUGCUUUUGGUGCAGGCAUCCGAAACUGGAAGCAAGUUGCUAUAUAAAAGGUCUUGUGUGUCUCUUGUGUCUUGUUGUUGAUAACUCCAAGUAAAAUUUGAAGUACCUCUCUUCAAAUCUUGGCUAAAUAAAUUGAUCAUCCAAUUUGACCCUGUUAAAAGAAAUUAGAAGGGAAAAAAAUAUAAUCCACCAAGCAUAAUCUUAUUAACUUUUUGCUUUUUCAUAUAUGCUUAUCUCCUUUAGCAAUUACUCCUUUUCGAAUGUUCAUCUACAUAUAUAUGGUAUUACGCCAGUCGUCAUAUAUUAGAUUUGGUUCAAAACAAUGUAGUCUCAAAUUUGAAAGAUGCAAGUAUUGGUGUUUGAAUUAACUUUUAUAUAUUUGAUCUUUUACCCACAAAAGAUAGUAUAAAAUUUCUCCUACUUUUAUUACUUUUAAAACAAUGGAAAGCAGAAGCAAAUGGACAAUCGGCCACACAUCCAUCUUCUUUUCCCUUUUUGUUUCAUCUCUGUUUUUCUCAGUUAUCUAUUCUUAUGUUUUCCUUUUUUAUUUUUUUCCCUAUUCAGCACAUCAUUUUUUUCAACAAAAUGAUCAGCAAAUACAAAAAGAAAAUUAUAAAAAAAUUACUCUUCUUUUUAAAUAACACCCAUUUUCAUGCCAGUCGAAACUCCAUUCUUACUCCUAUGAUUAAUUCUGUAAAAUUAACAUACUUCUCCUCUUAAGUUUGACAAACAAAUACCAAAAAAUAUGUUUUCCUUUAUUAGCUCCUCCUCAAAUAAAUCAAAGAGAAAAAGAAAAUAAUGGACGUCACUAUACAGGCACACCAGAGGAAAUUGAGAAUAUACAAAAUCAUACCCGAGUAUGAAAUUAGAGUAAUAUAGAAAUGAACCUGUUUUUCUUGACAUUAUUUUAAUCGUUAUGAGAGCCAAAUCUCACUCGUCAGCACUCGAUCUUCCUUUGAAUUUUUGGCACUGGCGAGUUAUUUUACUGCCUGUGACCUUUGGAGGGUCUGCCUCUCUUCUGUGUUGGGGGAAUCAGUUAUUUCUCCUCAAGAAUUCCUUUGCCAUCUAUGAUACUUACAGUAAUAAAAAUAAAUCAACCAAGUGAUGGAAUUUAAUGGGAAAAGGAACAUGGUUGUAUAGAAUCAGGGAAGUAAUUGAGUAGUUCCUAUCAUGAUAAUUUUGUAGGAAACUCUACUUCUAAUAAUUUAAAAUAUUUGCAAAAUUUAGCAACGCAAAAUGCAAUAAAAAGCAAACUAUCGUGCAAGACUUUCAACCAAUAUGCAACAUUGGCUAAAGAGCCCUAAUUAAUCUCAAAAGUUUGUACGAAAGUAAGAUGAAAAGGAGAAGGUGAGAAGCUUCAGCGGUAUAUCUGCUUGGACUCAUCAUUUGUUACGCUGUAAAGAUUUGCUCCUACAACUGACAAUCAAACCUGAAAUUUCAUAACCCGUGGAUUUCCGCGUGAAUUAUGAAGAAAUAAUGAGGCUUUUCGGUUGUCCAUAUUGAAGGCAACGUUGGUUUUAAUUAGUCGUGACUUUUGGACUUUCACAGGAGUAUUAAGUUUAAUGAAAAAAUUUAGGGAAAAAGGCAAAAAAAAUGACAAAAAAGAUAAAUAGUAUUCU